rnacentral:rRNA from 1 species
GUGUCAGCCGCCGCGGUAAUACGGAGGAUGCGAGCGUUAUCCGGAUUUAUUGGGUUUAAAGGGUGCGUAGGCGGAUUUGUAAGUCAGUGGUGAAAACCCGCAGCUUAACUGUGGAACUGCCAUUGAUACUGUAAGUCUUGAGUGUGGUCAAGGUAGGCGGAAUGUGUAAUGUAGCGGUGAAAUGCUUAGAUAUUACACAGAACACCGAUUGCGAAGGCAGCUUGCUGGACCAUUACUGACGCUGAUGCACGAAAGCGUGGGGAUCGAACAGGAUUAGAUACCCCUGUAGUCC